AUUGAACGCUGGCGGGAUGCUUUACACAUGCAAGUCGAACGGCAGCACGGGUGCUUGCACCUGGUGGCGAGUGGCGGACGGGUGAGUAAUGCAUCGGAACGUGCCGUAUAGUGGGUGAUAACGCAUCGAAAGGUGUGCUAAUAUCGCAUACGCCCGGAGGGGGAAAGUGGGGGACCGUAAGGCCUCACGCUCUACGAGCGGCCGAUGUCCGAUUAGCUAGUUGUUGGGGUAAAGGCUCACCAAGGCGACGAUCGGUAGAUGGUCUGGGAGGAAGACCAGCAACACUGGGACUGGGACACGGCCCAAACUCCUACGGGAGGCAGCAGUGGGGAAUUUUGGACAAGGGGGGCAACCCUGAUCCAGCCAUUCCGCGUGAGUGAAGAAGGCCUUCGGGUUGUAAAGCUCUUUUGUCAGGGAGGAAAUCCUUAGCGUUAAUACCGUUGGGGGAUGACAGUACCUGAAGAAUAAGGACCGGCUAACUACGUGCCAGCAGCCGCCGUAA
rnacentral:rRNA from 1 species